rnacentral:misc_RNA from 1 species
GGUGGUGUUUGAGCUAAAGAAUUGUUUUUGCUUUCGCUUGGGUUGGUUUCUUGGUGACCUGUGGAUAAACUUAGUUCUAGUUUAAUGGUUUCUCUUCUGGGCAUGCCUGUCAUUGGAUAGUAAUAUGCUACUUAUCCAAAAAUUUGAACUUUCAUUCAUACAUUUAUUCCCUUAUGUUUAUCUAUGUUAGCACAUUAUUAUUAAUUUGUAACAAAUGCAAUUCUUGCAAAUA